rnacentral:rRNA from 1 species
GUAGGGUGCAAGCGUUGUCCGGAAUUAUUGGGCGUAAAGAGCUCGUAGGCGGUCUGUCGCGUCGGAUGUGAAAACCCGGGGCUCAACCCUGGGCCUGCAUUCGAUACGGGCAGACUAGAGUUCGGUAGGGGAGACUGGAAUUCCUGGUGUAGCGGUGAAAUGCGCAGAUAUCAGGAGGAACACCGGUGGCGAAGGCGGGUCUCUGGGCCGAAACUGACGCUGAGGAGCGAAAGCGUGGGGAGCGAACAGGAUUAGAUACCCUGGUAGUCCACGCCGUAAACGUUGGGCGCUAGGUGUGGGGAACCUUCCACGUUCUCCGUGCCGCAGCUAACGCAUUAAGCGCCCCGCCUGGGGAGUACGGCCGCAAGGCUAAA